rnacentral:rRNA from 1 species
AUUGAACGCUGGCGGCAGGCUUAACACAUGCAAGUCGAGCGAGCGGCGGACGGGUGAGUAAUGUCUGGGAAAGUGCCUGGUGGCGGGGGAUCACUACGGGAAAAGGUAGCUAAUACCGCCUACCAUAAGCUGAACCGAUAUGGGAUUAGCUUGUAGGUGGGGUAAAGGCUCACCUAGGCGAAGAUCCCUAGCUGGUCUGAGAGGAUGAUCAGCCACCCUGUGACUGAGACACGGCCCGGAGUCCUACGCUAGGCAGCAGUGGGGAAUAUUGCGCAAUGGGCGCAAGCCUGAUGCAGCCAUGCCUCGUGGAUGAAGAAGGCCUUCGGGUUGUAAAGUACUUUUAGUCGGGAGGCGUUACCGACAGAAGAAGCACCGGCUAACUCCGUGCCAGCAGCCGCGGUAAUUC